rnacentral:rRNA from 1 species
UACGUAGGGUGCAAGCGUUGUCCGGAAUUAUUGGGCGUAAAGAGCUCGUAGGCGGUUUGUCGCGUCGAAUGUGAAACCCGGGGCUCAACCCCGGGCCUGCAUUCGAUACGGGCAGACUAGAGUUCGGUAGGGGAGUCUGGAAUUCCUGGUGUAGCGGUGAAAUGCGCAGAGUAUCAGGAGGAACACCGGUGGCGAAGGCGGGACUCUGGGCCGAUACUGACGCUGAGGAGCGAAAGCGUGGGGAGCAAACAGG